rnacentral:rRNA from 1 species
UACGUAGGGUGCGAGCGUUGUCCGGAAUUAUUGGGCGUAAAGGGCUCGUAGGCGGUUUGUCGCGUCGGGAGUGAAAACCAUGGGCUUAACUCAUGGCUUGCUUCCGAUACGGGCAGACUAGAGGUAUGCAGGGGAGAACGGAAUUCCUGGUGUAGCGGUGAAAUGCGCAGAUAUCAGGAGGAACACCGGUGGCGAAGGCGGUUCUCUGGGCAUGUCCUGACGCUGAGGAGCGAAAGUGUGGGGAGCGAACAGG